AACUAUGUCCAUGCCACCCUGAACGCGCCCAAUCCCGUCUGAUCUCGGAAGCUAAGCAGGGUCGGGCCUGGUUAGUACUUAGAUGGGAGAUCACCUAGGAAGACCAGGUGCUGUAGGUG
rnacentral:rRNA from 1 species